UCGAAUCUUUGAACGCAACUUGCGCUCUCUGGUAUUCCGGAGAGCAUGCCUGUUUGAGUGUCAUGAUCUCUCAACCAAUAGAGUUUUCUAUUGGCUUGGAUCUGGGUGUUGCGAGCGAUCGCUCACCUUAAAGGAGUUAGCAUAUAGCAUGUCGUUUGGCGUAAUAAGUUUCGCUUAGUAAAUCGACAAGGCUUUGCUUCUAAUCGUCUUUUGACUUUUUUGACUCUGGCCUCAAAUCAGGUAGGACUACCCGCUGAACUUAAGCAUAUAAAGGGCCGGAGGAAAGAUCAGACAAGACUACCCGCUGAAUUUAAGCAUAUCAAUAAGCGG
rnacentral:rRNA from 1 species